CCUACGGGCGGCAGCAGUGAGGAAUAUUGGUCAAUGGGCGCGAGCCUGAACCAGCCAAGCAGCGUGAAGGAUGACUGCCCUACGGGUUGUAAACUUCUUUUAUAAAGGAAUAAAGUGAGGCACGUGUGCCUUUUUGCAUGUACUUUAUCAAUAAGGAUCGGCUAACUUCGUGCCAGCAGCCGCGGUAAUACGGAGGAUACGAGCGUUAUCCGGAUUUAUUGGGUUGAAAGGGAGCGUAGAUGGGUUGUUAAGUCAGUUGUGAAAGUUUGGGGCUCAACCGGAAAAUUGCAAUUGAUACUGGCAGGCUUGAGGACAGUUGAGGUAGGUGGAAUUCGAGGUGUAGCGGUGAAAUGCUUAGAGAUCACGAAGAACUCCGAUUGCGAAGGCAGCUUACUAGACUGCCACUGACGUUGAGGCUCGAAAGUGUGGGUAUCAAACAGGAUUAGAUACCCUUGUAGUC
rnacentral:rRNA from 1 species